GACAGAGGGUGCAAGCGUUGUUCGGAAUUAUUGGGCGUAAAGGGCGCGUAGGCGGCCUUGUAAGUCAGAUGUGAAAGCCCAGGGCUCAACCCUGGAAGUGCAUCUGAUACUGCGAGGCUUGAGUCCUGGAGAGGGUGGUGGAAUUCCUGGUGUAGAGGUGAAAUUCGUAGAUAUCAGGAGGAACACCGGUGGCGAAGGCGACCACCUGGACAGAGACUGACGCUGAGGCGCGAAAGCGUGGGGAGCAAACAGG
rnacentral:rRNA from 1 species